ensembl:lncRNA
GUAAAAGUCCUCAGCAGUCGCUGGUGCCGUGGAACUGUUUUCUCUGUGUAUAAACAAGUUAUGUGGCUAAAUACAAAGAUUAAACUUCAAUCGCACUUCCUCAAAAACUCCAACAAUCAACUCGUAUCUUCAUCAGCGGGCAGUGGACUUUGGGUGCAUAAGACAGAUGGCUGCACAGUGGAGGUGGAAGCUAAUUGCUCAGCUAUUCGGCAAUUCCAGAACAAGGAGCCAUCCACUUCGACCAGGUGCGGGUGGGACUCAACUUUUUGUACAGAAGUUCCACAUUUCCGCACACCUGUGUGAUCUCCUGACAGUGGUUUUGUCCUCGCUGCAUCUCCAGUAACGAGGGCCUGUGUGACUCUCCAUACUUGACCAUGAAUUCUACUCUCUACCAGAAAAGGCUGCCAGAGAAGUCUUCAGUCUGUGAUCUGAAGCUCAAGCAUAGUUGGGUUAUGCAGCAAGUCCAUGAUCUGAAGCACAAGAGUUGAACAAGUC